rnacentral:rRNA from 1 species
CAGCCGCCGCGGUAAUACGUAGGGUGCGAGCGUUAAUCGGAAUUACUGGGCGUAAAGCGUGCGCAGGCGGUUAUAUAAGACAGAUGUGAAAUCCCCGGGCUCAACCUGGGACCUGUAUUUGUGACAGUAUAGCUAGAGUACGGUAGAGGGGGAUGGAAUUCCGCGUGUAGCAGUGAAAUGCGUAGAUAUGCGGAGGAACACCGAUGGCGAAGGCAAUCCCCUGGACCUGUACUGACGCUCAUGCACGAAAGCGUGGGGAGCAAACAGGAUUAGAUACCCCAGUAGUCCCUGUCUCUUAUAC